rnacentral:rRNA from 1 species
UGGGGAAUCUUGCUCAAUGGGCGAAAGCCUGAUGCAGCAACACCGUGUGAGCGAGGAAGGCCUUCGGGUCGUAAAGCUCUGUUGUUGGGGACGAAGGGCGAAGGGUUAAUAGCCCCUAGCCUGACGGUACCCUUCGAGGAAGCACCGGCUAACUCCGUGCCAGCAGCCGCGGUAAUACGGAGGGUGCAAGCGUUGUCCGGAUUUAUUGGGUUUAAAGGGUACGUAGGCGGACUGUUAAGUCUGAGGUGAAAGCUCCUAGCUCAACUAGGAAAAUGCCUUGGAUACUGGCAGUCUUGAGUACAGUAGAGGUAGGCGGAAUUCAGGGUGUAGCGGUGAAAUGCAUAGAUACCCUGAGGAACACCGAUAGGGAAGCCAGCUUACUGGACUGUGACUGACGCUGAGGUACGAAAGCGUGGGGAGCGAACAGGAUUAGAUACCCGUGUAGUCC